GAUCAAAAUUCUGCAUUUUCUUUUAUUAUAUGAAUAUUGUGCAUGACUACCAGAUAGAGUAGGACAUUCGGGCCUUCAUCAUUUGGGAUGUCCGUCACGGCCAGGCCCUAGUUCGAGUCGUGACAAUCAGUAAGCUAAGUUUGAGUAUAUGACCAUAGAGCAGAAUUUUAUCUUCCAUGUUUACGAUAGAUAUUAAAAGGAAAGCCUCUCUGGUCAUCAAGAUAGGGAUCAUUAAUCGGUUGCAAGAUUCAUACAAAUAGCAUUUCAUACAGUUUAGCAUGUUAUGCUGAGACUUCAUGCAUAAUUUUUCCUUUCCCAUAAUAAAUUAUUGCAUAGAAAAACUCGUAUCAAUUAAAAUUUACCUGUUAGAAGAUCAUUAUCUUGAAAUAGUUAUUUCAGUACAUAUGAUAGCUUCCAUUCUAUAGUAACACUAUCUUUAUAUUCUAAUCUUUCCAUCAGCUUCUUUAUAGGUUCACUAAAAUGAAGAUACUAACCUAUGCUCAAAUUUUCAGUAUCAGUUACUGUUGAGAUUUUGCAUACUGUACAUGUAAAUAAUAGUGGAAUAGGAUAGUUUACAUACUAUAACUAAUUCUCUAUGUGUUUGGCCCAAUAUUGUUUUAGGCCUGUUUAUUUAUGCUUAUUUGUUAUCUUUCUGGGUCAUAUAUAAAGGGACAAGGCCCAUGUCAUAAGCUGAACUUUCCAUUUUUACUUAGAGAUAUUUUUUCAUCCACUCUAGAAGAUUCUUCCAUCAGUGAACUUUUCUCAAUGGAGGUUUCAUGAUUCUAACGUGGUAUUAGAGCAUAGGCCGUCGUAGAUCUGCUCCUAAGCUUUCUUCUGAUUCUACCCUCAACGAUUAUUGUUGACAUUUGUUUGUGACAAUAAAAAUUCCGAUUAUCUCCGGUUGGUGGUUUCGUUGGAGUUUUUCAUCGGAUUUCAGGUGUUGCAGAUUCCAAUUACUAUUUUAUUCAGAAUUAUUAUAGUUUCUUCAGAAUUGUUGUGGUUUCCUCGGAAUUUUUUGUUAGAUUUUAGAGUUCCAACUUCUCAUUCGUGAGUUCUUUUAGUGUGUGGUUUUGUAGUACGAGGCCGUCUCCUUUCGGUUGCGAAGGAGCCCGUCUGAAGAACAGGGUGAGAAAAUUGCAAGUCAGGAGCCCGCCUGAAGAAUAGGGUAAUGGAAUUGGAAGUUGAUGAAACCGAAAGUCAAAAAUGGCAAGUCAGAAGUCCGCCUGAAGAACAGGGUAAAUAAAUAAAAGUCAAGCAACACAGUGAAGCAAUUGAAAGCCAAGCAAUAAGCUGAAGAAAUGGCAAGUCAAGAGUUCGGCGAAGAAUAAAGUGAUGAAACUUAAUUCAGGAAUCCAAAAGAAACUACAUAGAUAGGAUUUUUUCAACUUUAUUUAUUUUUAGCUUGUAAUUUUUCAUUUCUGAUGUAAUAAUAGAGCUGCGGACCGAAACCUCGACGGGACCUUACACGACUCUCCAACUUGGUGUAGUCCUUCUUCUUCCAAUCUUUUGAGAUACCUGUCAAUUGAUUCCUUCAUAACUGGGGUAGGUACGAUGUCCUAAGUCAAGACUCGGUUGUCCUUCCUCCUUCUGUUUCUUCCUUUGAAUGAUGGUCGGGUCAAAAUUCUGUCUCAUUGUCUACUUCUUUAUUUGAAAACACUUUGUGUUUACAUUCAAAGGGGGAAUGAUGUAGACACGUAAUUUUGUCCCUCCGAAAUAUUAUUUUUCGCCUAUUUACCUUA